rnacentral:rRNA from 1 species
AGUGAACGCUGGCGGUAGGCCUAACACAUGCAAGUCGAACGGCAGCACAGUAAGAGCUUGCUCUUACGGGUGGCGAGUGGCGGACGGGUGAGGAAUACAUCGGAAUCUACUUUUUCGUGGGGGAUAACGUAGGGAAACUUACGCUAAUACCGCAUACGACCUACGGGUGAAAGCAGGGGAUCUUCGGACCUUGCGCGAUUGAAUGAGCCGAUGUCGGAUUAGCUAGUUGGCGGGGUAAAGGCCCACCAAGGCGACGAUCCGUAGCUGGUCUGAGAGGAUGAUCAGCCACACUGGAACUGAGACACGGUCCAGACUCCUACGGGAGGCAGCAGUGGGGAAUAUUGGACAAAGGGCGCAAGCCUGAUCCAGCCAUACCGCGUGGGUGAAGAAGGCCUUCGGGUUGUAAAGCCCUUUUGUUGGGAAAGAAAAGCAGCUGGUUAAUACCCCGCUGUUCUGACGGUACCCAAAGAAUAAGCACCGGCUAACUUCGUG